UAAUACGGGAGGCAGCAGUGGGGAAUAUUGCACAAUGGGCGCAAGCCUGAUGCAGCCAUGCCGCGUGUAUGAAGAAGGCCUUCGGGUUGUAAAGUACUUUCAGCAGUGAGGAAGGUGGGUAUGUUAAUAGCAUACUCAUUUGACGUUAGCUGCAGAAGAAGCACCGGCUAACUCCGUGCCAGCAGCCGCGGUAAUACGGAGGGUGCGAGCGUUAAUCGGAAUUACUGGGCGUAAAGCGCAUGCAGGUGGAUGAUUAAGUCAGAUGUGAAAGCCCGGGGCUCAACCUCGGAAUAGCAUUUGAAACUGGUCAUCUAGAGUACUGUAGAGGGGGGUAGAAUUUCAGGUGUAGCGGUGAAAUGCGUAGAGAUCUGAAGGAAUACCGGUGGCGAAGGCGGCCCCCUGGACAGAUACUGACACUCAGAUGCGAAAGCGUGGGGAGCAAACAGGAUUAGAUACCCUGGUAGUCCACGCCGUAAACGAUGUCUACUUGGAGGUUGUGCCCUUGAGCCGUGGCUUUCGGAGCUAACGCGUUAAGU
rnacentral:rRNA from 1 species